rnacentral:rRNA from 1 species
GACGAACGCUGGCGGCGUGCUUAACACAUGCAAGUCGAACGAGUGGCGAACGGGUGAGUAAUACGUGAGUAACCUGCCCUCUUUUUGGGAUAAGCCUUGGAAACGGGUGCUAAUACCGAAUAAAGGGGGAUGGGCUCGGGGCCUAUCAGCUUGUUGGUGGGGUGAUGGCCUACCAAGGCGGGGACGGGUAGCCGGCCUGGGAGGGUGACCGGGGGAAUUGGGACUGGGAUACGCCCCUGAGUGAGACGGGAGGCGGCAGUGGGGGGUAAUGCACAAUAGGCGGACGCCUGAUGGAGCGGCGCCGCGUGGGGGAUGAAGGCUUUCGGGUUGUAGUCGUCUUUCGAUAUCGAACGGGUAGCUGGAGAAGAAGCGCCGGCUAACUACGUGCCAGCCGCCGCGGUAAUAC